rnacentral:rRNA from 1 species
UGAGGAAUAUUGGUCCAUGGCCGAGAGGCUGAACCCGCCAAGUCCCGUGAGGGAUGAAGGUUCUAUGGAUCGUAAACCUCUUUUAUAAGGGAAUAAAGUGCGGGACGUGUCCCGUUUUGUAUGUACCUUAUGAAUAAGGAUCGGCUAACUCCGUGCCAGCAGCCGCGGUAAUACGGAGGAUCCGAGCGUUAUCCGGAUUUAUUGGGUUUAAAGGGUGCGUAGGCGGCCUUUUAAGUCAGCGGUGAAAGUCUGUGGCUCAACCAUAGAAUUGCCGUUGAAACUGGGGGGCUUGAGUAUGUUUGAGGCAGGCGGAAUGCGUGGUGUAGCGGUGAAAUGCAUAGAUAUCACGCAGAACCCCGAUUGCGAAGGCAGCCUGCCAAGCCAUUACUGACGCUGAUGCACGAAAGCGUGGGGAUCAAACAGGAUUAGAUACCCUGGUAGUCCACGCAGUAAACGAUGAUCACUAGCUGUUUGCGAUACACUGUAAGCGGCACAGCGAAAGCGUUAAGUGAUCCACCUGGGGAGUACGCCGGCAACGGUGAAACUCAAAGGAAUUGACGGGGGCCCGCACAAGCGGAGGAACAUGUGGUUUAAUUCGAUGAUACGCGAGGAACCUUACCCGGGUUUGAACGCAUUCGGACCGAGGUGGAAACACCUUUUCUAGCAAUAGCCGUUUGCGAGGUGCUGCAUGGUUGUCGUCAGCUCGUGCCGUGAGGUGUCGGCUUAAGUGCCAUAACGAGCGCAACCCUUGCCACUAGUUACUAACAGGUAAAGCUGAGGACUCUGGUGGGACUGCCAGCGUAAGCUGCGAGGAAGGCGGGGAUGACGUCAAAUCAGCACGGCCCUUACAUCCGGGGCGACACACGUGUUACAAUGGCGUGGACAAAGGGAGGCCACCUGGCGACAGGGAGCGAAUCCCCAAACCACGUCUCAGUUCGGAUCGGAGUCUGCAACCCGACUCCGUGAAGCUGGAUUCGCUAGUAAUCGCGCAUCAGCCAUGGCGCGGUGAAUACGUUCCC